UGGUAAUGCAAUGGUCUUUGAGUCAUUUCAGCUCCUGUGAGUAACCCCUCACCUAUAUUCCUGUAAGCAACCCAGUGAAAUUCACUGGUUCACCAAAUUGGACUUGGGUGGUAUCUGUACUUUGGUCUGUUAUGGGUUCCUUAUCUAGUAUAAGUGUGUGUUGUAUCUCCCUAGGUAAAGUUCUCUCUCUCUCUCCUCCCAGUGGGUGUGUAGGGUGGGUCAACACUUCGAUGUCAGCAACUCUAGAUGGUCCAAGCUCUCUUGGAGUUCUCAAGCAGAGGGUGUAGGGUGGCCAAGAUUGCGAUGAGGGCAGGCUCAGGAUGGUCCGGUGCACCAGGGUGGGCCCACAACAUGUGGGGUAAACCAGAAACACUGAGGAAACUUAAUUUUGCUAUGUGGAGAUUUGACACCCUGUCCACUCAAGGAGUUAAGCUGGCCAGCCUCCUUUAUUGCCACAACAGGGUAAUACUCUUUCCCUUGGCUCCUCUGAUUGUACAAACAUCUGGAUCUCACUCUGCUUAGCAACCCAGAUACCCCCACUCCAUGUUUUGCUGACGAUCACAGCUUUCAGCUCUCUGUAGUGCACAGCUCAUCCAGAGUCCAGCUGCAGGAAUGGAGCUUGCCAAAAAUCCUACAAUCCAUCAUUCUGCUGGAGAUUAGAAACUGCCUUUGGCUCAUGUCUGUCCUGCAAUCCUGCCUGUGACAAUAUGCUUCCUUCUCCCUCUCAAGAUAUCUGUUGACCAGAAAAUUACUAUUUUAAUAUUGGGAUUCUGUGGGCACCCACUGGGACUUCGAGAUUCUUGUUUUCUGGAGCAAAUAAUUGGAUGUGACAUAGACAGAGGCAGGCAAAGCAAAGAACUUAAAGAAUAUAUUCCUGGGGAUCUCCUGGACUGGGAACUGCAGGCAGGUCAACUCUACCCCAGCAGACCAGGCAACCAAGAGUCUGCUCAUAUUGCUGGGCUACUCCUGCCCCCACUCAGCAGAGAGGUGAGCUUGGGCCCCUGUCUCAGGCCCGACUUUGGCUUGCCUACUCUCGUGGCCUGGGGACUACAGGCAGGUUGACUCGCUCCAAGAGGACCAAGCAAUCCAAAGUCUGCUGAUAUCCCUGUGCUAGUUCCCCCCCCCACCCACAGAGAGAGGGAGUGUCUCAGACCCUCCUGCACCCACCAUGAGACCCACCAAAGUAAUAGACCUGCUUGCACCCACCGGAAGACAACCUUGGAACCUAACCACCAGGAGAGGAAGAGACCCCACCUGCACCCACUGGAAGAAGGGAUGGGAAGAUGACAAUAUAAGAAAACAUUCAACAACAACAACAACAAAAAAAAAACAGUAUGACACCACCAGAGUCUAGGGACUCUACAUCAGCAAGAACUGAACAUCCCAACACAGAUGAAGAGAAUGACCUUAAAAACAACUUCAUGAAGAUAAUAGAGACCCUAAAAGAGGAAAUGAGAAAAUCCCUUAAAGAAAUGGAAGGAAAAACAAACAAACAAAUUCAAGAAAUGGAGGAAAAGACAAACAAAAAAUUGCAAGAAACAAUUCAAACAGUGCAAGAUUUGAAAGCUGAAAUAGAGACAAUUAAAAAAAAAAACAGUCUAUAAGAUCACUGGUUGCUCUUCCAGAGGACCUGGGCUCAAUUCCCAGCACCAACAUCGCAGCUCACAACUGUGGAUGGAACUAGAAGAAUUAGAAGAAACCAUUCUGAGAGAGGUAACCCAGUCACAAAAUGACAGACACGAGCCUACAUCCAGUAGCUGAUGGAAGCAGAAGCAGACACCCACAGCUAAACACUGCACUGAACUCCUGGAAUCCAGUUGCAGAGAGGGAGGAGUGAUGAGCAAAGGGUUCAAGACCAGGCUGGAGAAACC
ensembl:lncRNA